rnacentral:rRNA from 1 species
GAUGAACGCUGGCGGCGUGCUUAACACAUGCAAGUCGAACGGUGAAGGCGGAGCUUGCUCUGCUGGAUCAGUGGCGAACGGGUGAGUAACACGUGAGCAAUCUGCCCCUGACUCUGGGAUAAGCGCUGGAAACGGCGUCUAAUACUGGAUACGAGCUGCGAAGGCAUCUUCAGCAGCUGGAAAGAACUUCGGUCAGGGAUGAGCUCGCGGCCUAUCAGCUUGUAGGUGAGGUAACGGCUCACCAAGGCGUCGACGGGUAGCCGGCCUGAGAGGGUGACCGGCCACACUGGGACUGAGACACGGCCCAGACUCCUACGGGAGGCAGCAGUGGGGAAUAUUGCACAAUGGGCGAAAGCCUGAUGCAGCAACGCCGCGUGAGGGACGACGGCCUUCGGGUUGUAAACCUCUUUUAGCAGGGAAGAAGCGAAAGUGACGGUACCUGCAGAAAAAGCGCCGGCUAACUACGUG